rnacentral:lncRNA from 14 species
AGCUGAGAAGCAACGUCCAGCCCCUGCAGUCGUGUUUGACUUCCACAUCCCGCACAGUGGAGGACUUCAUGCAGCUCUUGGCUCUGCUGUCCUCCAGCGAUGUGACACCAGAAGAGUUUGCUGGGGUGUACAAGACAGGAAGGUUCCUGUGGUGUCAAAAUGUGGCGCUGUUCGCACUGGUGCUCCCAGGCCUGGUCACAUUGUCACAGUCACCUGACACGGCAAGGAAAAUGCUGCUCCUGCUGCUAGAACUGAGGGAGGCCCUGAAGAGUGCAAAUGCAGACACCAGGAUGGAGGCCCUGCUCAUUAUCAGAAAUGUGAUGGGUCAUUUGAAGGCCAUCUCCACCGCCCUGCAGCUGGCCAAGGAGCUCACAGAACACUUUGAUGAUGUGUCCAGCCAGGUGCGAGAGCUCUCCAUCUGCCUCUUCAAAGAAAUAAUACAGAUGACGGACAAGAAGCACAAGCGGCAGAGGCAGAAGAUGGUGCGGAAGAGCGUGGUCCCACUCGUGUUGCACAUGAGUGAUGAGAUUGAGAGUGUGGCCGAGGCAUCUUAUGAAGCCCUCUGUGUAGCUGCGAAUGUGCUCAAAUGGAAACGGCAACUUCACCGCGUGGAGAUACUGGAGAGACACAGAACUGUGGAGUGCUUGCUGGAGCACGACCGAAGCAGGGCUGAAAAAUACGUGUUUCAGAGUCUGGCUUAUCUGCAGCACGCUCAGGUCACCGUGCGAAUAGCAGCCGUGAGGUUCAUUGGGCUGGCUGGGAAGCACCUGGAGAACAGCAGCAAGGACAGGCUGCAGGAGAUCUACGAUGGUGAGCAGGGGCAGUGCUGUGUGUGACGGGGCUGGUG